rnacentral:rRNA from 1 species
UGGGGAAUAUUGCACAAUGGGCGCAAGCCUGAUGCAGCGACGCCGCGUGGGGGAUGACGGCCUUCGGGUUGUAAACUCCUUCGCYAGGGACGAAGCUUUUGUGACGUACU